rnacentral:rRNA from 1 species
GACGAACGCUGGCGGCGUGCUUAACACAUGCAAGUCGAACGGAAAGGCUCUGCUGUUGUGGGGUUCUCGAUGGGCGAACGGGUGAGUAACCCGUGAGUAACCUGCCCUUGACUUUGGGAUGACUUCAGGAAACUUGGGCUAAUACCGGAUAGGAGCUCCUGCUGCAUGGUGGGGGUUGGAAAGUUUCGGCGGUUGGGGAUGGACUCGCGGCUUAUCAGUUUGUUGGUGGGGUAGUGGCUUACCAAGGCUUUGACGGGUAGCCGGCCUGAGAGGGUGACCGGCAACAUUGGGACUGAGAGACGGCCCAGACUCCUACGGGAGGCAGCAGUGGGGAAUAUUGCACAAUGGGCGGAAGCCUGAUGCAGCAACGCCGCGUGCGGGAUGACGGCCUUCGGUUUGUAAACCGCUUUCGCCUGUGACGAAGCGUGAGUGACGGUAAUGGGUAAAGAAGCACCGGCUAACUACGUG